rnacentral:rRNA from 1 species
GACGAACGCUGGCGGCGUGCCUAAUACAUGCAAGUCGAGCGGACUGAAUGGGAGCUUGCUCUUGUUCGGUCAGCGGCGGACGGGUGAGUAACACGUGGGCAACCUGCCCGCAAGACCGGGAUAACUCCGGGAAACCGGAGCUAAUACCGGAUAACACCGAAGACCGCAUGGUCUUUGGUUGAAAGGCGGCGCAAGCUGCCACUUGCGGAUGGGCCCGCGGCGCAUUAGCUAGUUGGUGAGGUAACGGCUCACCAAGGCGACGAUGCGUAGCCGGCCUGAGGGGGUGACCGGCCACACUGGGACUGAGACACGGCCCAGACUCCUACGGGAGGCAGCAGUAGGGAAUCUUCCGCAAUGGGCGAAAGCCUGACGGAGCGACGCCGCGUGAGCGAAGAGGGCCUUCGGGUCGUAAAGCUCUGUUGUGGGGGACGAAGGAGCGCCGUUUGAAGAAGGCGGCGCGGUGACGGUACCUCACGAGGAAGCCCCGGCUAACUACGUG